GAUGAAGAACGCAGCGAAAUGCGAUAAGUAAUGCGAAUUGCAGAAUUCCGUGAGUCAUCGAAUCUUUGAACGCACAUUGCGCCCUUUGGUAUUCCAAAGGGCAUGCCUGUUCGAGCGUCAUUUGUACCCUCAAGCUUUGCUUGGUGUUGGGCGUCUUGUCUCUAGCUUUGCUGGAGACUCGCCUUAAAGUAAUUGGCAGCCGGCCUACUGGUUUCGGAGCGCAGCACAAGUCGCACUCUCUAUCAGCAAAGGUCUAGCAUCCAUUAAGCCUUUUUUUCAACUUUUGACCUCGGAUCAGGUAGGGAUACCCGCUGAACUUAAGCAUAUCAAUAAGCGGAGGA
rnacentral:misc_RNA from 1 species